rnacentral:lncRNA from 1 species
CUUAAGGGGGAUGUGCUGUGGUCCUACGUUGGUCUGAGUACAGAGAUGCUGGGUCUGGGUACCUCUGAGUGGUAUAAAACAAUCACAGGAAUCCAGCAGGUAAGCGUGGAUUUCACAUAGGUUUCGGCCUUUUCCAGUUCUUCUUUAGCUGGUGAAAGUGUUGGUGGGCUUUUCCAGCAAGGGCAGAAAAAAGGAUAUGGUCGUAUUUAUACAGUGCCAAAAUAUACUGCUCACAUAAAUGGUAGCUGCAUUUGAGGUAGGACCAGUGUUCUUGUGGUGGAUGCUGAAUUAUUUUUAAAUCUUAUUUUCUUGUGCCUGUCCAAAUAAAUGUAUGCACGAUUAUACAUAGUAUACCCCCCCUGGGGGGGAAAGGGGGGGUACACUAAGUAGGGGAGUUAGGUUAAAAAAAGUGUUGUUCCCGUAGUUGAGAACAACAAUGGCUUUUCAAGCCGUAGUCCUUGGGGUCUAUCCAAGCGGGAAUAUAUGACUUAUUUUGUGAUUUUUUUGGGAAUUUGUUUUAUGUUAGGGACUUCAGCUGUGGCAUCUAAUCCUUCCCCAUACUAUGGAGUGGUGGUUUGUUUCUUUGGUGUUGUUUAUGAUUUAUUUAGGGGGGAUGUUGGUGGUUUUUGUGUAUUCUGUUUCUUUAGCUGCGGAUCCGUACCCAGAGGCUUGGGGAAGUUGACGGGUGAUGGGGUAUGGGUUUGUUGAUUUUUGAAAGAUUGGUGUGAC